UCUCGUGCGAUGCAAAUGAUGGGACGCGUUUACCUAGAUGCCUAUUCACCUCUUGUUUUAAAGAGACCCUGAUUGUAAUUGGUAGGAAUACAGAUCGUGGAAGAGUAUUUCAAACCUUAACCAUGCGUAUGAGGAAUGAUGACGCAAAACGUUUUGUGCGUGUAGAUGGAAUGUUGACGACAUUAGGAUGGAAACUCGCCCGACGUCUUGCGGUU